rnacentral:rRNA from 1 species
UACGUAGGGUGCGAGCGUUGUCCGGAAUUAUUGGGCGUAAAGGGCUCGUAGGCGGUUUGUCGCGUCGGGAGUGAAAACCAGGUGCUUAACACCUGGCUUGCUUUCGAUACGGGCAGACUAGAGGUAUUCAGGGGAGAACGGAAUUCCCGGUGUAGCGGUGAAAUGUGUAGAGAUCGGGAGGAACACCGGUGGCGAAGGCGGGUCUCUGGGCAUCUCCUGACGCUGAGGCGCGAAAGCGUGGGGAGCAAACGGG